rnacentral:rRNA from 1 species
AGUGAACGCUGGCGGUAGGCCUAACACAUGCAAGUCGAACGGCAGCAGAGAAAGAGCUCGCUCAUACGGGGGGCGAGGGGCGGGCGGGUGCGGAAUACAUCGGAGUCUACGGGGGAGAGGGGGAGAACGCAGGGGAACAUACGCUAAAACCCCAGACGGCCAACGGGUGGGAGCAGCGGAUCUUAGGACAUUGCGCGAGUGAAUGAGGCGAUGUCGGAUUAGCUAGUUGGCGGGGUAAAGGCCCACCAAGGCGACGAUCCGUAGCUGGUCUGAGAGGAUGAUCAGCCACACUGGAACUGAGACACGGUCCAGACUCCUACGGGAGGCAGCAGUGGGGAAUAUUGGACAAUGGGCGCAAGCCUGAUCCAGCCAUGCCGCGUGUGUGAAGAAGGCCUUCGGGUUGUAAAGCCCUUUUAUUUGGGAAGAAGAGCAGCAAGUUAAUACCUCGCUGUUCUGACGUUACCCACAGAAUAAGCACCGGCUAACUUCGUG